GUUGUUCUUAGAGAAGUCUGUCACUGUUCAGAAAUGAAAUAUGUUAUGCCGAAGGAAAUGUGUAUUGGUGAAUAUGUUAAAAGGAGAAGAUAUUGAGUUAUUGAAAAGGAUUCAGGGGAGGGCUACUAGGAUGAUUUCAGCUUUACAGGUUCUGAUAAAAAAAAACAAACAAACCUUGAUUUGAAGUAGAUUAUGAGUGAUGAAGAGUGGGAAAAUGCUCUUUGUCAGCAUUAUAGAAAAGAAGCUUUGCAAGACAAUCUUCAUCUGCACUUCUGUCAAGACAAACAAUUUGCUUUCACCAUAGCCAGCUGGGAGUUUUAUGACACAGCAUAAUUUACUAUAUGUAUUGCCUGAUUAAUCCUUGGCAAUGUUUUGUUCCAUUCUGAUCAGGACUUGAGAAAUUUGGCAUGAUGGAGUUAGAGAUUAAAUCAAACUUAUUUGCUUGACUUAUAAGAUGGACAAGAACUCCCAGGUAAGUAAAUUGAAAUUUGUGAAAUAAAUGGUAUAUUAUUUUGUGGUCAAAGCCACUUGUAAACACCAUAAAAAUAUGAAAGUUGUCAUAAAUUCUAUAUUAUGUAUAUGUAUACAUAUUUUCAAGAUGUAACUUACCAACUGUUAAGGUCAGAUUUUAAUCAAUCAACGUGAACUUCCCAUAGUAAUAUUACAUAUUCAUAUGAAAUAAGGAGGUAGAUACUUCAAUAUUUAACUUCUUACUGAAAAGCCAGAUCAUAAUAUGAGAAUGCUAUAUUAUCACAUGAAAAAGGAUUUAGUUUGUUAUUUGUACAAUAGCCGAAUGACCAAUACAAGUAUUGAUGGAAUUUCAUAUUUCAAUGCAUUUCAUACAAUGCACUAUGAUACAGUCAUUUACUUUGCUAUCUGAGAUAAGAUGUUUAUGGGAAUUACUGUAAUAAAAAACCUCAAGCUACGUGUAUUUAAUGUGGAUAUUUAUCAUGUGAAGUUAUACAUAUUUAUGGAGAAGUAGCUAAUUACAUACGUUAUCUUUAGUUGCAGCUGAUGUAAAUGUUUAUCCUUAAAGUCACUGUUAUUGUUGUGUUCCAUAUUAUUUUGGAUUUAAUAGUUUGGUGUGAUGUUGAAAAUAUUGGUUGCUGAUGUAAUGUUGUAGUUAUUAAUUUAUCAAUUUUUUACAUUAAUCAGUUAUUUAUUUUAAAGGAUAAUAAACUUUUUUUUCCUAUGUUUAAUGUAAGCAUGGUCGCAAGGUGAAUUUCUUUUAUAAUUGUUUUCAAUUCAAAAAGGUUUCCUUUGUCUAUAUCUGUGUACUUGUUGUUAGAGUAAAAACACUACCAACUUUCCUGAAAUUUUGUUAAACUAUACAAGUCAAGUAAACAAUACAUGAUUUAGAAUAUCAGUUCUUUAUUAGUGGAUUGUACCCUGCUGGGGAGAAGGGGCAUCAAACUUUCCCAGGGAGGGGGGUGAUCACUUGA